UUUUUUUUUUUUUUUUGGGAAGGGGGGAGGGGGGGCAGGGGGCAAGACUCAUCAAUCUCUCCAUCCCCACAUCCCCUUUCACGAUGUAUGUGUUAGGGUGUGUUCCCCGCCCUUCAAAUGACUCAUGUGAAAUGGAAACCGCAGCAAUAACUCAACUCAACAUGAGACCUUAUUCCUCUUACCCUGGACAUCUUCUACCAUGACUAACCAUUCAACCAAUAAUGCAAAGACUGAAUAACCAAAUUCAAUAUACUUAUCGAACAUUAUUUCUAGGUGUCAGGGUACUAAAAAUAUGAACAGGAUAGGCUUGACUUGGAACAUGGAAAGACUAGUACAUUAAUGCAAUAUAGAAGGAAGAAGCAUAUGAA
rnacentral:lncRNA from 1 species